rnacentral:rRNA from 1 species
GUCUGAUGUGAAAGCCUUCGGCUCAACCGAAGAAGUGCAUCGGAAACUGGGAAACUUGAGUGCAGAAGAGGACAGUGGAACUCCAUGUGUAGCGGUGAAAUGCGUAGAUAUAUGGAAGAACACCAGUGGCGAAGGCGGCUGUCUGGUCUGUAACUGACGCUGAGGCUCGAAAGUAUGGGUAGCAAACAGGAUUAGAUACCCUGGUAGUCCAUACCGUAAACGAUGAAUGCUAAGUGUUGGAGGGUUUCCGCCCUUCAGUGCUGCAGCUAACGCAUUAAGCAUUCCGCCUGGGGAGUACGGCCGCAAGGCUGAAACUCAAAGGAAUUGACGGGGGCCCGCA